UCCCGUUUGUUAGAAAAGCUUUUGCAAAUAUCUUGUCUGAGGUAAAUUGUCAUUUUAAACACAUUUAGUGAGUGUGAAUAAUAUGAUUUUUGUCUCUAUAUAUAUUUAUGAUGCUCUGGCAGUUUUAGUUACUGUAUAAAGUGUAUUAUUAUGAUCUGUAUGAUAGUUUGAGUGCUUACAAUGGCAGCAAAUUUAAAAACAAAACAAACAAAAGAUGUUUACAUUGACAUUAUUUAAGUUAGUUCAGAUUUUUUGACAACCAUUUUGUUAUGCACAGUGCAAUCUGAUUUACGUUAUUGUAUAUCAGAUGUAUGAAAUGUACAGUGAUUUAAUGAACAGGUGUUUCAUAUCAUAGUCAUUUGCCAUACUGUGGAUUUUAAACACAUCAAGGGCUGGAAAUGACUGAAUAAAUUUCUUGCCUUUUUCCUUAGCUAAUAUUUCCCUCAUAUAUGUUUCCUCUCUUCUUGUGUGUUAACAGGUCAUUGGCACUGCUGUAUCACAACAUCAUUUGCUGGCAUGUACAUCUAGGAUGCGAUCAAUCCAGAUGAGAUUCUCUCCAAUGCCAGCAAACCGACAGUGGAAGACACGAGCCAGCACUUCUCCCACCACAUUGCCUCAGGCUUUUGAGAUACCGACUUAUAACUGCUUCUCCCCCCUAUGUUGGAAUCACCGGGGCCUCCAUCGCCCGGCAUGUACACGCUACAUUAGGUGUAGGUGAACAACAUCAGAGUGCGGCAGUCAGAGAUCCUAAAGAAGGACUCCAUAUGUUUAGUCGAGACAGUACGCCGUACAUCUCUUACGACGAGGAUAUUUGUUUCAGGACCGCUUUCCCGAUACUGACAAGGACAUUUAAGGUUCAAUGGACAACUUGCUUUCAAUGAAUGCAUUUAUGUGAGCUGCAGUCUGGAUCCUGCCUCUGUCAGAUGACCUAACACAAAUGGAAAGAUGACAUCGACCCUUGCAAGGACUUCAGACGAUCCCAGCACUGGACUACAUACAGUGGUAAUCAUAUUUUCAGUAGUCCGUGUCAAAUUUUCUUUCAAGGUAAGAUAGCUUUACAUGUUUUUUAUUGUGCUUUAGUGGUCACACAGGCCCGGUUUAUGUUCUUAACCAGCAUGAGUUUAUUUAUUGUGAUAUACACAAAACAAGAUAUUUUGAUAAAUGAUGUUAAGUACACAGCUGCUCAUUUACUUCAAUAAAAUGUCUUUUUCCUAUUAUGGAAGUCAAUGGGUACCAUCAACUGUAUGAUUGACAUCAUUUAUCAGAUUAAAGAAUUUUUGGCAAGUUUAUAACAACAUGAAGGUGAGUAAAUGAUACAAUUAUAAUUUUUACGUAAACUUUUAGCUUUGAAGGAUUAUUUACUCAACCCCAUGUUAUCCAAGAUGUUUGUCUUUCUUUCUUUAGCCAAACACAAUCAGAGUUAUAUUAAAUACUGUCCUGGCCAGUGGCGGCUCGUGACUGCUCUUCUGAGGGGUGCGAAUUCAAAAUAAGUGUUCAGAGUGUCAUGUGUGUUGCUCGUGUCUUCAAAAAUAUGUGUUUGUUACAUCAUGUAAACCAUGUGCAUCACGUGUCUUGUCAAAAGAAGUGCCUGCUGCACACGCGUCAAAACCUUUUAUGAUAAAAGAGAUGCUCACGUUCA